rnacentral:rRNA from 2 species
UACGGAGGGUGCAAGCAUUAAUCGGAUUUAUUGGGCGUAAAGGGCGCGUAGGCGGGGAUAAAAGUCAGAUGUGAAAUCCCGGGGCUCAACCUCGGAACAGCAUUUGAAACUCUAUCUCUAGAGGGUAGGCGGAGAAAACGGAAUUCCACAAGUAGCGGUGAAAUGCGUAGAUAUGUGGAAGAACACCGGUGGCGAAGGCGGUUUUCUAGCUUAUUCCUGACGCUGAGGCGCGAAAGCAAGGGGAUCAAAC